UACGAAGGGGGCUAGCGUUGCUCGGAAUCACUGGGCGUAAAGGGCGCGUAGGCGGCCAUUUAAGUCGGGGGUGAAAGCCUGUGGCUCAACCACAGAAUUGCCUUCGAUACUGGAUGGCUUGAGACCGGAAGAGGUAAGUGGAACUGCGAGUGUAGAGGUGAAAUUCGUAGAUAUUCGCAAGAACACCAGUGGCGAAGGCGGCUUACUGGUCCGGUUCUGACGCUGAGGCGCGAAAGCGUGGGGAGCAAACGGG
rnacentral:rRNA from 1 species